rnacentral:rRNA from 1 species
AGAGUUUGAUCCUGGCUCAGGACGAACGCUGGCGGCGUGCCUAAUACAUGCAAGUCGAACGCACUCUCGUUUAGAUUGAAGGAGCUUGCUCCUGAUUGAUAAACAUUUGAGUGAGUGGCGGACGGGUGAGUAACACGUGGGUAACCUGCCCUAAAGUGGGGGAUAACAUUUGGAAACAGAUGCUAAUACCGCAUAAAACCUAACACCGCAUGGUGUAGGGUUGAAAGAUGGUUUCGGCUAUCACUUUAGGAUGGACCCGCGGUGCAUUAGUUAGUUGGUGAGGUAAAGGCUCACCAAGACCGUGAUGCAUAGCCGACCUGAGAGGGUAAUCGGCCACACUGGGACUGAGACACGGCCCAGACUCCUACGGGAGGCAGCAGUAGGGAAUCUUCCACAAUGGACGAAAGUCUGAUGGAGCAACGCCGCGUGAGUGAAGAAGGUUUUCGGAUCGUAAAACUCUGUUGUUGGAGAAGAAUGUAUCUGAUAGUAACUGAUCAGGUAGUGACGGUAUCCAACCGGAAAGCCACGGCUAACUACUGUUGCCAUCAGCCGCGGUAAAUACGUAGUGUGGCAAGCGUUGUCCGGAUUUAUUGGGCCGUAAAAGCGAGCGCAGGCGGUUUCUUAAGUCUGAUGUGAAAGCCUUCGGCUCAACCGAGAAAGUGCAUCGGAAAUGGGGAAACUUGAGUGCAGAAGAGGACAGUGGAGCUCCAUUGUGUAGCGGUGAAAUGGGUAGAUAUAGGAAGAACACCAGUGGCGAAGGCGGCUGUCUGGUCUGUAACUGACGCUGAGGCUCGAAAGCAUGGGUAGCAAACAGGAUUAGAUACCCUGGUAGUCCAUGCCGUAAACGAUGAGUGCUAGGUGUUGGAGGGUUUCCGCCCUUCAGUGCCGCAGCUAACGCAUUAAGCACUCCGCCUGGGGAGUACGACCGCAAGGUUGAAACUCAAAGGAAUUGACGGGGGCCCGCACAAGCGGUGGAGCAUGUGGUUUAAUUCGAAGCAACGCGAAGAACCUUACCAGGUCUUGACAUCCUUUGACCACUCUAGAGAUAGAGCUUUCCCUUCGGGGACAAAGUGACAGGUGGUGCAUGGUUGUCGUCAGCUCGUGUCGUGAGAUGUUGGGUUAAGUCCCGCAACGAGCGCAACCCUUAUUGCUAGUUGCCAGCAUUUAGUUGGGCACUCUAGUGAGACUGCCGGUGACAAACCGGAGGAAGGUGGGGACGACGUCAAAUCAUCAUGCCCCUUAUGACCUGGGCUACACACGUGCUACAAUGGAUGGUACAACGAGUUGCGAGACCGCGAGGUUUAGCUAAUCUCUUAAAACCAUUCUCAGUUCGGAUUGUAGGCUGCAACUCGCCUACAUGAAGCCGGAAUCGCUAGUAAUCGCGGAUCAGCAUGCCGCGGUGAAUACGUUCCCGGGUCUUGCACACACCGCCCGUCA